rnacentral:rRNA from 1 species
GAACGGGUGAGUAAUACAUCGGAACGUGCCCUGUAGUGGGGGAUAACUAGUCGAAAGAUUAGCUAAUACCGCAUACGACCUGAGGGUGAAAGUGGGGGACCGCAAGGCCUCAUGCUAUAGGAGCGGCCGAUGUCUGAUUAGCUAGUUGGUGAGGUAAAGGCUCACCAAGGCGACGAUCAGUAGCUGGUCUGAGAGGACGAUCAGCCACACUGGGACUGAGACACGGCCCAGACUCCUACGGGAGGCAGCAGUGGGGAAUUUUGGACAAUGGGCGAAAGCCUGAUCCAGCAAUGCCGCGUGUGUGAAGAAGGCCUUCGGGUUGUAAAGCACUUUUGUCCGGAAAGAAAUGGCUCUGGUUAAUACCUGGGGUCGAUGACGGUACCGGAAGAAUAAGGACCGGCUAACUACGUGCCAGCAGCCGCGGUAAUACGUAGGGUCCAAGCGUUAAUCGGAAUUACUGGGCGUAAAGCGUGCGCAGGCGGUUGUGCAAGACCGAUGUGAAAUCCCCGAGCUUAACUUGGGAAUUGCAUUGGUGACUGCACGGCUAGAG